rnacentral:snoRNA from 1 species
CCAAUGCGGAUACCCUGGGAGGGCCAGGUGGCACAGGGGAGCACAGGGCUUCAUCCUGUGACGUACUGUCCCUUCCCACAACGCUGGAGGACCUUGAGUCUGCAUCAGCAUAUUCCUAUGGCUUCUCAGAGUCCUGUGCACAAUGACUGGGGGAGACAAAUGCUGCAGCGAACAGCU